GGUAACCAUAAUUCUACCCUCUGUGUUCAUGAGUUCAAUCGUUUUAAUUUUUAGCUCCCACAAAUAAAUGAGAACAUGCGAAGUUUGCCCUUCUGUGUCUAGCUUACUUCACUUAUCACAAUGUCCUUCAGUUUCAUCCCUUUUGUUGCAAAUGACAGAAUUUCAUUUAAUUUUACUUCUAAAUAAUACUCCAUUGUGCAUACAUUUUAAAAUUAUGUACCACAUUGUCUUUAUCCAUUUGUCUACUGAUGAACAAUUAGAUUGCUUCCACGUUUUGGCUAUUAUGAAUAAUGUUGCAAAAACAUGAGAGUACAGGUAUUUCUUUGAUGUACUGAUUUCCUUUCUUUUGGAUAUACACCCAGCACUGGGAUUUCUGGAUCAUAUGGUAGUUCUAUUUUUCAUUUUUUGGGGAACCUCCAAAUUUCCAAAUAUAGUUGGCAAAAUUAAUUGUGGAAUUGAAAAGACAUUUAAAUCAAACCUUUAUAUUAAAAUUCAUGGAGUAAAAACAUACUUCAAUAUUAACUGUUUAUUUUACUUAAUUUGGGUAAGUAAAUUCCAGCAAGAAAAGAGCACAAGUGAGGUCACUUAAGCCAUGGUGUUGGAAUGAUAGUUUUACUUUGCAACCGUCAAGUAAUAAAACAUUUGAUUUAGAAUGACAUUGAGCCAUAACAUCAAGUAGUGAAAAUUUAAGAUGCUGGUUCAAUUUCCCAUCAGAUAACCCAGCCUUUUAUAAAUGAAAGCUCCCAUAUAUCAGUGAUAAAUGUAAAAACAAGAUGUUUUGCUGGUUGUAAAAAAUGGUCUCAGAAAUACCUAGCUUUAAUAGGUAUGAUAUCUAGGUUAUAAAAUUGAUAAAUUAUCAUUUGUUUUAUGAUGGGAUCAUUGAUUCUUGGAAUCAAUUGUUGCCUGUUUAUUGGUUUGUAAUUUUUUGUUAUUGUUUUAUUUUCUUUUGUGAAGUAAUUUAUCAGCUCUAAGACCCUAGUACUCAUUCUAAGUAGGCUUUGAAUCCUCUCUUACUUUAUUCACUUUACUCCUAUCACACGUACACACACACAUACACAUUUUUCUCUCUUUCAUGUUGCCAUUCAUGUAUCCUAUUUGUAAAAUUUAAAAAUAAUUUAGUAUAUUUUUGUUAAAUUAACAAAGCAUUUUAUUUAUGGACAUGAAAAAUUAACACUGCUUCAUGAACUUGCAACAUUAUUCAUCAAGGGCGAUGUAACUAUUGUACAAUAAAUAUGCUUUCAUUUCUGUUCCUGUUAUUUGGCUUCCAUGUGAAAUUGAGUUAUUUUAUCUUGAGGAAGCUAUAUUGGAAUAUAAAAUAAAGUAAGUUCUAUAUUUUUCACAGAGAUAAAAACUUUUAAUAUUUAAAUAGACACUACAUUACUUAUUAUUCCUGAAUGAACAGAUCUUACAAUAGAUUUUUAUUGUUUAUUAUUACCUGAAACUGCUAUUUCUCUAAUAAAUUCUUCACUUAAAAAACAAGAUGUCUAAGUUGACAAUGAUAGGUCUUACAAGAAAUGUUAGUUCAUAAAGCUACCAACCAUUUUAAGGAAGUGAGUACUGGAGAUUGCAGGAAAAAAAAAAAAUAGUGAUGCCUUCAUGUUAGUCUAAACUCCAUUGUAAAAGUAGAAAGUUUGAUGGUGCAUGAAGUAUAAAGAAAGGUUAAGAAAUACGCUUGAAUGGAGUAUCUGAAGAGAUAAGUGAUAAGACUUUUCUCAGACUGUAGAAAUAUAGAUAAGUACCAGAAUGGCAUGACAGCCAUGAAGCACAGUUAAGGUAAUUGUUUGGCCUAUCAGUAGACAUGUAACAUACAGAUGAAUAGAAACCAUUCAAGAGACAAGUAAGUCAUAUAGCAGGAUAAGAUAAGCAUAUUAUUCCUUAGUACUAAGCUUCUGAAGGCAAACUGCAUGUACAUAGCAUGAAUGUUUCUAUCAAUUUCCUUUUUGUAUCUAUUUGUCAGUUGUUCGGUAUUGUGGGAAUUGUGGGAAAAUGAAGGCAUUACAAUUAUAUUACAUAUGAAAAUUAAAUUAUUAUCAAUGUGAAAAGAUCAACAUAGGCUUUAUUAACUAUUAUUUUUGCCAUGUUUAAUUCUGAACCUGUGCUAAAUUCAACAUUGUAUUUAAUCAAAUGGUUAUAAAUUUGUAGCAAAAUUUUUAAGCAAUAACUUUUUAUUAGUAAGUGACCAAAGUGCCUAGCAUCUUCAUUUUUAGAAGUAGUUUAGAAGAAACUGAAUUGUGUUUGAAAGAAGCAAGAAUAUAUCUGGUGAUUGUCUUUCAUAUUAUCUGAUAUUUCAAGUCUAUAAUCCUACAAUCGCUUUAGAUUUCAAACUCACCCUACUUUCCUCUUAAACAAACCAACAAAAAACAACCGAAUAAAAAACUCUUUCUUAAUCCACAUGUAUCAUUACCUUCUGUUUCAUCAGUUUUUGUCUGUUUACUCUUGAAGGUGCUGUCUACAUUCGCUUCUCACUUAAAUUUUCAAUUGCGUAUAGCCUGUGUUCUUGCCACUAUCACCCCAUUGAAAUGGUUCUUGUUAUUUCCCAGUCAUAUUUACAUGGUGAAAGUAAAAGCACAUUUUGUCACCAUUUCACAAAACAGAAAUAUAAGGGUUAAGCAUUUAGAAGUUUUAACCAUACUACAGCUGCAUGUUUACUGGUUCCAUAGUCUGUGCCUCAAUUAUCAUGUAUGUAAAAGGAGGUGAUAGUAUGGUAGUGAGAGUUAAAUUAUUUACAUGUAGUGUUAUUAGCAGUGUCUGGCUCAACAAGUUUAAUUUAACUAUCAGUAUCUCCAUUUCCUGAGAUAUAAAAUGGAGAAUUACAAUAGUUCAUUUUAUACGGGAAUUAAGCCCUGAGGCUGAAUGCUUUAACCAAUGUAAAGUACAUAGAGUAAAUAUGCAAUAAAACCUAGCCAUUUUAUAAUUCUCACAAUUGUAAGUCUUGAUCACAUCUAUUAUUAUUACUGUUGUUGUUAUUAUUAUUAUUAUCGCAAUUUUUCUGGCUGUUUCUUAGUAGUCUUCUUGCUGGCUGCCUUUCUCCAUUCACACCAUAACCAUUAAGUGUUCCCAAGGUGCUGUAGUUGGCUUUCUACUAUACUAAUUCUACAUAUGUCUCUGUAAACUUUAUCCAAACCCAUGGUUUCAACUUCACCAGACACAUGACAACUCCAGAAUCCUCUCCUUAUGUACAAUUUAUAUAUACCACUUCUGGGUGUCUCAGCUUGACUAUUCCUCAAGUAGUUCAAAUUCAGCCUGUCUCAAAAAGAUACCGUCAUCUUUUCCCACAAACUUGUUCUUCCUCUGCCUGUGAAUCUCAUUCCUAUGCCUCUACAUGUUUAAAAGAAAAAUUAGGGAUUUAAAUUAACAACUUCUUUUUGACUUCUCUCCUAUAUUAAAUCUGUAUCUAAUACCUGUCUAUUAAACUAUGUUGAUAGCUUUCAUAUUUAUUACUACCCCUUUUUUCCCAAGUCCAGUUUUUUUAAAUUAUUUUUAUAGUUAUAGGAUUCCAACUGCCUAUAGGCUGAUUCAGCUUCUAUUCAUCUGCAAUGAAUGAUAUCUGUUUGAUCAUCAUCAUUCCCCUGAUUAAAGAUAUUAAAUGGCACCCUAUUACUUUGAGGAUGAAAUUCAAAUCCUUUAGUUUGUUACACAAAGCCUAUCUUUAUUUUUGUCUCCUGUUCUUAAUCAACUCUUCCUCAGUCAUAAAGGACUUCUAGCCAUUUCCUGAAUGUAUGUUUUGUGUUGUCUUUCCAGGCUUUACAUAUACCUAUUUAUUUCUUUUUUUUCUUUUUUUCUUUCUCUUUCUUUCUUUAUUUCUUUUCUCUCUCUUUUUUCUAUCUCUCCUUCUUCUUCUUCUUUUUUUUUUUUUUUUUUGAGAUAGAGUCUCACUCUGUCACCCAGGCUGGAGUGCAGUGACGCGAUCUCAGCUCACUGCAAGCUCUGCCUCCCGAGUUCAAGCGAUUCUCUGCCUCAGCCUCCCGAGUAGCUGAGAUUACAAACGCAUACCACCACACCUGGCUAAUUUUUGUAUUUUUAGUGGAGACGAGGUUUCACCAUGUUGGCCAGGCUGGUUUCGAACUCCUGACCUCAAGUCUUCCACCCACCUCAGCCAUAUACCUGUUUCUGUUUUAUUUUUUCUGGAUUGCCCCCACCAUCUUAUCCAGCUAACUUGUACUCAACCUUCAGAUCUCACUUAUCUCUUGGUCACCACCUCUAGGAUGCCUCUAGUCUUAUUCAGAAGCCCCAUUCAUACCUAAGAUUAGUUUGAAUAUAGUAAACCCUGCACUUUUAGGAUCAGUAUUCUUGCCUUUUCCCACUGGACUAUGAGCUCAAUAAAAACAAGGACUUGUCACUCAUUGUUCAACCUCCCACUCUCUUCUCCCCAACCAUGUGGGCCUCCUAGUUCUUCCUCUACUACCUCAGACAUGCUUUCUUCCCAAGAUAUUGGUGUUGCUUGCCACUUCUGCCAUAUAUGCCUAUGGCUCACUAUCUCCUUCUCUUUAAAACUCUGGUAAGAUCCCAAUAGCUUAGAAACACCUGCCAUUACCACCCUAUUUAAACUGCAAACCACCCUAUCAGCAGGCCCAGCAACCUUACCUUAUUAAUCUCUAUGAUAUUAUGUAAUGUGUUUAUUAGGUCUAUAGACUGUCUCCUCUGUUUAAUGUAAGCAUGAAAGAGGGGCCAUUUGUGUGUAUUGUUCUCUAUUGUAUCACCAGUGCCUGGAAAAAAGUGAACACUCAAAAAUAUUUAGCAAACAAUGAAUAGAAAGAGUGAUGAAUUAUUCUUCUUUGUAGGCAGUAUAGUGACAAUCACAUAAUAGGUAUCCCAUAAAUAUUUAUAGAAUUAAUAAGAAAUUAAAAUGUUUAAGAAAUUCAAUUUUAAUAAUUAAAUUCAAUGUAAGCAAUUUAAAAUUAAAGAAUCCAGUUCUUGUUAAAAUUAGAGGAAAAAUUCUCCUAUCAUGAAUGUUGAAAAAUAGUCAAUCCUGUAAAUACAGCUAAACUCCUGUGUGUUCACCUGAAAAUUAAGCUGUAACAAACUUAAUUUUGUGGUAGAAAAAGCUAAACUAUUUUCCACUUUUUCUCCUAUUAAAAAUUUAGGAAAAACCCUGGGAACUUUUGCCCAGUUAGUCCUGAAAAGGAUGAAAUAUUAAGUACUAAAGAAACACCAUACAUGUCUUAUACAACUCACUGGACUAAUACACCUGUUAUAGUAGAAUAACUUUCUAUUAUAUGUUCAAAUUGUACUGUGAUUUGGGGUUGAUUGAGAAGGGGUGGUUGGUGUGACGAGCAGCAAGAUGAAGAUAUAUUUAUACCAACCUCAUGCUCAGGGCCAGCUUUACUUAUAGAAUGACAAAUAGAUUUGCUUUUUUCUCAGCCGCAGCUCAGAAAGCUUCCUAUUGCCUUCGUUGUACAUAGUGCACCCAAAGCUUAAGACUUGGGAAAUAAAGUAUUACCAUGAGCCAGCUGCAAAAGCAGUCUGCAAAUUCGCUUUACCUCCCAUAGGGAUGAAAACUGAAUUAUGUUGUUUGCAAGCCUGUACCUUUCCUAGAUCUCCACUAAAAAUUCUUAUAUAUUUAUUGUUUUGGUAAAUCAUGAUACAAAUUUUGAAGCCAAGUAAGUGUUAAUAAUUAAGUGUUGUCAGGCUAAAAAAACUUCUAAUUAAUUUUUUUGGUUUUAAUUGGUUAUGAAAUUAAGUUGGUACAAAUGAUUUUCAGCUGUUUAUAUUUUUAAUCAUUGGGUAUUUUUUCCUAUUUGAUUAAAAUAAACAAAGGCUUAGGCGAUUAGAUCCAUAGAGAUAGGCAAAGAGCAGGAAAUUUCUUAUUUCUAUAAGUAAAGGAGGCCACAUGUCAAUAAGUAAAGAAAGAGCAGAGUCUUGGUAGAAUGGAAUGUCCAGUGGCCUAGAGGUACACAGACUCCAAGUUCUCUUCCCCACUCAGCCUCUUAUUGACUGUAAGAAGGGGAAACAUCUAUUUAAACACUGCGCACCUCAUUUUCUUUAUUUUAAAAUGACAUUAAUUAUAAUUAACUUUUUUUUUUUUGAGACAGAGUCUUACACUGUCGCCUGGGCUGGAAUGCAAUGGUGUGAUCUCAGCUCACUACAACCUCCACCUCCCGGGUUCAAGCAAUUCUCCUGCCUCAGCCUCCCGAGUAGCUGGGAGUACAGGUGCCCGCCACCGUGCCUGGCUAAUUUUUUUAUACUUUUAGUAGAGAUGGAGUUUCACUAUAUUGGUCAGGCUGGCCUCAAACUCCUGACCUCAUGAUUUGUCUGCCUCUGCCUCCAAAAGUACUGGGAUUACAGGCGUGAGCCACCGCUAAGUACUAGUACCCCUUUUUUUAAAAAAGAAUACAGUCUUUAAAUUUAUUCUUAAAAAUUUUUGUCAGUGACUUCAACAAGAUUUCCAGGCAAAGGUGAAUGCAUCAUAAAAUUAGGUAAAGGCGACAUAAAAUCUGGAGAAUAAUAGACACUAGGUUUAGGAACAUGGUGAGAGAUGACCUUGUAAUCAUGCAUCAGCUUUGAUUUCCAUGCAUUUCUUGGAGAAACAAAAUAUAUAAGAUCACUGUUAUCACUACAAUCUGUGAAUUCCUAUGGCCAGUAGUAGCCAAAGACAAUCUUAAAUUUUGUUUGAUUUUAAACAUCUAGAAUUCUUUUUUCUUCUUCUUUUUAACUUUAAGUUCUGGGAUACAUAUGCAGAACGUGCAGGUUUGUUAUAUAGCUAUACAUGUGCCAUGGUGCUUUGCUGCACCCAUCAACCUGUCAUCUAGGUUUUAAGCCCCGCAUGCAUUAUGUAUUUGUCCUAAUGCUCUCCCUCCCUUUGUCCCUGCAGCCCUGGUCAGGCCCCAGUGUAUGAUGUUCCCCUCCCUGUAUCCAUGUAUUCUCAUUGUUCAACUGUAACUUAUGAGUGAGAACACAUGGUGUUUGGUUUUCUGUUCCUGUGUUAGUUUGCUGAGAAUGAUGGUUUCCAGCUUCAUCCAUGUCCCUGAAAAGAAUGUAAACUCAUUCUUUUUUAUGGCUGCAUAGUAUUCCAUGGUACAUAUGUGCAACAUUUUCUUUAUCCAGUCUAUUAAUUAUGGGCAUUUGGGUUGGUUCCAAGUCUUCGCUAUUGUAAAUAGUUCUGCAAUAAACCUACAUGUGCAUGUGUCUUUAUAGUAGAAAGAUUUAUAAUCCUUUGGGUAUAUACCUAGUAAUGGGAUUCCUGGGUCAAAUGGUAUUUCUGUUUCUAGAUCCUUGAGAAAUCACCACACUGUCUUCCUCAGUGGUUUAAAGGCUUAAAUGUAAAACCUAAAACCAUAAAAACUAGAAGAACACCUAGGCAAUACGAUUCAGGACAUAGGCGUGAGCAAAGACUUCAUGACUAAAACACCAAAAGCAAUUGCAACAAAAGCCCAAAUUGGCAAAUGGGAUCUAAUUAAACUAAAGAGCUUCUGCACAGCAAAAGAAACUAUCAUCAGUGUAAACAGGCAACCUACAGAAUGGGAGAAAUUUUUGUAAUCUACCCAUCUGACAAAGGGCUAAUAUCCAGAAUCUACAAGGAACUUAAACAAAUUUAUAAGAAACAAACAACCCCAUCAAAAAGUGGGCAAAGGAUAUGAACAGACAAUUCUCAAAAGAAGACAUUGAUGUGGCCAACAAACAUGAAAAAAAGCUCAUCAUCACUGGUCAUUAGAGAAAUGCAAAUAAAAACCACAGUGAGAUACCAUCUCAUGCCAGCUAGACUGACAAUUAUUAAAAUGUCAGGAAACCACAGAUGCUGGUGAGGCUGUGGAGAAAUAAGAACCCUUUUACACUAUUAGUGGCAGUGUAAAUUAGUUCAAACAUUGUAGUACCCAUUUUAUAUUACUCCUUUUACAUCUUCAUAUACUAGCAUCAUAACUUGAAGAAAGAACUUUUUAAUUUAUUAUUUGAUAGAGGAGGAGAUAAACUAUAGGGACAUUGAAUAAGAUGCCCCAGCAGACAGAGCUUAUAAGUAACGGAGUAGGGUUCAUACCUCACUCUGCCUGGGCUCUUACAUAUUUACCAUGCUGCCUUUAGGCAUGAUUAUAAUACCUGCCUUGGGAAAAUGCACACAGUGAAUAUGAAAACAAAUUAAGUUCAUUUCAUGAAGUAAAUUGAAAGCUGCAAGUCAUUUUUGAAAACAAGGCAUCAUUUACACAAUUAUUUAUUAAGCAUAAAAUACAGCUGACUGCUAUGUUGAGGGAUGCUGUAAAAAUAAAAUGUCCUAUUUGGUUCUAGUCCUGAAGGAUUCUAAAUUACAUUAUAAUAUAUAUAGUAUAUUAUAUUAGAGUGGAGCGUAUAAUUAUUAUAUAGUAAAAAUUACCUAAUACAGGGAGUCAUUUUUCUUUGGUAAUCAAACAGAAUUCUACUCUGGUAUCUCAUGCCAAAUCAGUUGAUUGGAAGUCACAAGACAGCUUACAUAUUCGUAUAAAAAGCAGGAAAAAAAAACCCAUGAAUCUCCUAACAGGGGGCAGAACAAGCUCUGAUAGUCUAGGUGGGGAAACUAAUGGUUGUGCUCUCCGCAGCAUUAGUCUGGUGGGCCGAUCAACUCUAACAUUCUGUCUUUGGGUCACUCUUCUGAAUAAUUACAUACCUAGGAAAGAGUCUUGCUAGCCUAGUUUGACUGUAUGCUGACCCCUUGAUCAAGGCAAGGCAAGCCAUAAGCAUCCCACUGAGACCUCAUGCAAUGCCAGAAAACCAAGGUGCUAUUACCAGUAAAAAGGAAAAUGAUUGAUUAGCAAGAAAAGCAAAAGUGAUCACUCUAACAAGUAAAUAAAUGCUAUGGUCUGAAUGUUUGUGUCACUAAAAUUCAUAUGUUAAAACUCUCACCCCUAAGGUGAUGAUAUUAGAAGUUGAGGUCUUUGAGGGAGAUGAAGAGUGGGUCAUGAGGAUGAAGGCCUCAUGAAUGGGAUUAGUGCAUUUGUAAAGGUGCCCAGGGGAGUUCAUGCAUCCUUUCCACCAUGUGAGGCCACACAUAGAAGAUGCCAUCUGUGAACUAGAAAGAGUGCCUUCACUAGACAUCAAAUAUGUCAUUGUCUUGACUUCUGACUUCUCAGCCUCCAGUACUGUAAGAAAUAAAUUUCUUAUGUUAAUCA